rnacentral:lncRNA from 1 species
AAUGUGCAUGGGAAAGAAUACCACUGCUCAGCAAAGCAUGGGGAGAGGAGGCCACCGGGAAGAGCACAGAAGCAGCAAGAAGUGGAUGCCUCAAAACCUAAACAAGCAGGAGGAUGGUCUUUAAAGCAUUUGGAUGAUACAAGACAGAUUACUACCUUGAAUUUAUGCACCACUGGGAAAUACCAUUAUCCACCAGGCAAUACUGAAACACAGAACUCUAGGAGUUAUUUAAAUGAUUUACAACUUUUGUAUAUUCUUUUUUUUUUUUUUUUUAAUCAAGAGCUUAUCAGUUUAAUAUAUGUAUCUAUUUUGUCCUUCAUCAAAGCACACAACAUUCUCUGAACCCUUUGAGAAAAUGAAGUGAAGAAACAAGGCUGGCCAGAUAAAAUCUUAUAGAAAGUUAUGCAAAAAAAUGAUGCUAGAAUCACUUUCAAUAUUGAAAACACUAUCAUGGGUGACCAGGGAAGCAUUAGAUCUGAAAAAAUAAAAGUCUUCAAUUCUGUAAAACCUUAGGUUUUCACUGCUUUACAAGUUUCAAUCCAUUUGCAAAGUUGCAGCUAUUACUGAAUAAAACCUGCUACAUAAAACAAAAGAGAAAAAAAAAAAAAAGACAAUUCCUAUUUCUUUGAAAAUGGAAUUUUUUUCAGUACUAAUUUUACUAAUUCACGACUGAAGUGUGAAAGGUAUCUAAUACAAAAUACGCAAGUUAUAUGUUCUUUCCAAAACAUCAAAGAUAUUUUACUGCUGCAAUAAUCAACCUCUAAUAACCAGUGAAGGACCAACUGGAAUACUCCAAAGCAUCUCAGCACAGGCAAGCAAGCAAGAACUAAGUCAGACCCCAGAAUAGUAAUUUUAAAAAUUCUUUGGCAACAUAAUAAAGUUGUUUCUGUUAAAAAACUUAAAUUACCUUUUCUUUUCGAGGCUCUCAAUCCCACUAAUUGAGUUUUCAAUUUUUGUCACUUGCCAUGGAAAGACUUUGAUCACAUGGUAAAUGGUUUUACAGUGAGCAGGAGUGCAAGUGGCAAGAUGCAGAACAAGGAACUUAUCCUCCAGAGUUUAAUUUUGAUGGGUUGCCUUUGAUCCCACAAAGACCAGAUCACAACUUUAGUUGUGCCCAUCCUAGCAGUGGGUGUGUCACCUCAGGAACCCACCAGAGAACAAAGCACAUUCCAAAGACAGAAAUUACAGGACCUGGCUUAAAACUCUUGAUCUGCGAUUCAGGAACUUCACCAAAAAAAGAAACCUGGUACUUGUGCCAAGCCAUCUAACAAUCACAGAAUUUGGGAGAGUGUUCAGUUCACUUCCUUUUUUAUCUGUUUGGCCAGUCUCCAGCUUUCCUCUUCAAGAUCAUCGGGUUUGUUGAAAGCAGCCACUGUCAAACAAAGUUAUUUCUUGAAUAUUGUAUUGAAUUUAUUCUGUUUUGCCUAUACCUUGUGCAAAUGAUAGGAACUGUUUAACAUUUAUGGGAAUGCAACGGAGAAAAGAAUUUGAAAUGCAUCAAAACUAUGCAAGAUGAAAAAUGUAAGAAAAGCAUUCAGAAUGUCUACAAUAAAAGAAAGAGAAGGAGACAAAAGAAGUCAAAGAUUUGUUUUUUCUUUGGUGAAAGCCAGCCAGAAAUUCUUGAAAUUCUUCAAGCUACAUUGAACUACAUCUUCUAGAUCUAAACGUGAAGCUGCACAGGAUUUAAGCACAUGUUUCCAUAGACUUUUCAACUACUGGCAAUUUCUGCUCUGACAGAAAGACUAUCUCUUAUCUUAAUGGGACUCUACAUCUUUUACAGCCUAUUCAUUAAAGUUGUUUCUGACUCCAAAAUUUGGUUUCUGCGUCGUGAGUUUUGUGAAAGUCAUAAAGUGUUAGAUUUAAUGAAGCAGGAAGCAUAAAAUUAUGUAAUUUUUCAUGCUGUGAGCACUCCUCCACAUAUCUAGGAGAUCUGUCCUGGGUGAGGACUCAGAUGCCAGUCCUGUGAGCAGGGGGAUGCCUUCCCCAAGUUGACUCCCCCCAAGAAUAAACUAAGAGUCUCAUCCAUGGAAUUAGCCUGCUCAAAAUAAAAACUACUGAUAAGCCUAAUGACCUGCCUAGUCUGCAAACAAAAUAUUUAGUGCAAUUGAAGAAAACAGGAAGGUCUUCCUACCUGUCUAUGGUUAAAAAAACAAAUCUGUCUGUCACUGAUGAUGGGAUAUUCUGCUUUAACAAGUGCCAAAAGUUCUGAAGAUACUUUUUAGAGGUUUCUAAAUGCAUUAUUUAUAAGUUCCCUUCCUCUCACAGAAUUCUUUGUAGCUGGAAUUGUAGUAUUAAUGGAGCUUGGCUUUACAGGCAUAGACAGAAAUAGACACAAUAAAACUUUAAAACUUACUGAAAUAUUUUACGAAUAAGCUGCUGUAAAAUAUCAGGCAUCUACAGAGCUGUGGUGUGAAAUGCAUGGCUUCUUGGAGAUGACCUAUAUAACUCACCCACAAUAUUUCACUCAGAAAUACUGAAUCUUUCCAAAUGCACACUUCAAAACUUUCUCAGACCACUUUCCAAAAACGUUACAAUUUUUAUAUCUAUCCCAAACACAUAUCUUCUGUAAUUUCACAUCUCUAAAGUGGAGUGAGAUGAUUCAGUAAUGCAACAUUUGAUAGUAAAAUAUGCUUUCAUCAAUCUGACUACAGCUCUCUGGAUUGACUUCAAUUCCCCAAAUAAUUUUUGGCAGGAAGAGCUAUUUCGGGG